rnacentral:rRNA from 1 species
AGUGAACGCUGGCGGUAGGCCUAACACAUGCAAGUCGAACGGCAGCACAGUAAGAGCUUGCUCUUACGGGUGGCGAGUGGCGGACGGGUGAGGAAUACAUCGGAAUCUACUUUUUCGUGGGGGAUAACGUAGGGAAACUUACGCUAAUACCGCAUACGACCUACGGGUGAAAGCAGGGGAUCUUCGGACCUUGCGCGAUUGAAUGAGCCGAUGUCGGAUUAGCUAGUUGGCGGGGUAAAGGCCCACCAAGGCGACGAUCCGUAGCUGGUCUGAGAGGAUGAUCGGCCACACUGGAACUGAGACACGGUCCAGACUCCUACGGGAGGCAGCAGUGGGGAAUAUUGGACAAUGGGCGAAAGCCUGAUCCAGCAAUACCGCGUGGGUGAAGAAGGCCUUCGGGUUGUAAAGCCCUUUUGUUGGGAAAGAAAAGCAGCAGAUUAAUACCCCGCUGUUCUGACGGUACCCAAAGAAUAAGCACCGGCUAACUUCGUG